GGGGGAAGCUUACGAGGUUCACUCCCAACCCACUGUGACGUUACCAAACUGUUGCCUCGGCGGGGUCACGCCCCGGGUGCGUCGCAGCCCCGGAACCAGGCGCCCGCCGGAGGAACCAACCAAACUCUUUCUGUAGUCCCCUCGCGGACGUAUUUCUUUACAGCUCUGAGCAAAAAUUCAAAAUGAAUCAAAACUUUCAACAACGGAUCUCUUGGUUCUGGCAUCGAUGAAGAACGCAGCGAAAUGCGAUAAGUAAUGUGAAUUGCAGAAUUCAGUGAAUCAUCGAAUCUUUGAACGCACAUUGCGCCCGCCAGUAUUCUGGCGGGCAUGCCUGUCCGAGCGUCAUUUCAACCCUCGAACCCCUCCGGGGGAUCGGCGUUGGGGAUCGGGACCCCUCACACGGGUGCCGGCCCCUAAAUACAGUGGCGGUCUCGCCGCAGCCUCUCCUGCGCAGUAGUUUGCACAACUCGCACCGGGAGCGCGGCGCGUCCACGUCCGUAAAACACCCAACUUUCUGAAAUGUUGACCUCGGAUCAGGUAGGAAUACCCGCUGAACUUAAGCAUAUCAUAAGCGGAGG
rnacentral:rRNA from 1 species